GUGAAUUAUAAUCAAAUAAGUUAUUCCCUUUUGGACUAAGAAUUGUCACAAACUAAAACUAGUGACCUUUUCCAUUGAUGCCAAAUACUAUAAUUAAAAAACCUUGUAGCAUGCUCAAUUAUAAAUGCUUUUUUGUGUAGUACAUGGUAAGUAUCCUUUUUUCCAAGUGUUGCAGAAGACAAAAGCUUCCCCACUCUCUAUUGUCCUGCAUAAUUUGGCAAUGUGUGAUCCACAUUUUUCAGAUUGUGAAAGCUUCGAGUCCCACCAUUAUCAAACUUUCUCUAGUGGCCUUUUCUUGGUUAUAAUGAAAUUGAAUUGACUGAACAAUCUUUAUCCAUUGAACAACUAGCUAUUCGUCUGCUGUCAUCUACUAGCUAAUAACUCUAUCGUUAGAAGAUUUUUACAAAUUAUUUCCUCAAUAACCUUUUCUUGCAUUGUGUGUGCUCAGAAGAGACGCGAGGGUUUUGUUGGGGGGGCUUGCUUUCUCUAGUGUUUAUAACCAAUGCUACUUGUUGUAGUAGGAAUUGUAGUUGAUGGGAUAGUUCUCAGUUGAGCUUUUCAGCAUUGUGUUGUGGGUUUUAAAUUUUAAUCCCGGAAGGCACUUAUCUGUCAAUAUAUUAUAUAACUUUCUAUGUUUUUUCUCUAGCUUCCAUAGUUCACUAAAAAAAAACCAAACUGUUUGUAACUUUGGGAACUCGUAUUGUGUUGAAUUUGAAGUCUGGUUUGCUUGUGUGUUCCAUCAAGUUAAUCUACUCUGUGAACCCGCACAUGGCAUGGGGCACCAAGAACACCAAACUUCACUGUUUCUCCUAGAUUGAUAAGUCUUUAUAAACUGUUGCUCAAACUUUGAAGCAAGGUGUUUCUAUAUUUGUAACGGGCAUGCAACAUCAAUACUUUUGUUUGAACAAUUAAUGUACUUAAAUUGUCAUAAAAAUUUACUGCUCCUUGAUGAACUGAACAUUCUUUACUGGCACAGUCAAAAAUACAUGAUGUGAAAAAGUUAAACCUGAAGAUAUAGCUACUGAUACAGAGUAUAGAAAGCAAUAAUAGUGAAAGUAUAUCACUGUAUAUGCACGAAUAUAUGUAUGCAUAUGAUGAAUGCAAUGUGAAAAGACAAUUAUUAAGGAUUUCUCAUAAUGUCUUCAUUGAUUAUUUGCUCCACAGGUGGUGGUCCGACGUACACCUGCUGGUUGCUGCCCCCUUUAGUUUGUUGCAGAUAAUUGACUUCCCGCUCCUGAAAUCCAAAUACAUCAUUAUGGGAAAAUUGAAGGUUAUAAGCUCGAUCCAAGGACAUCGUAUAUCUUUGAUCUUUAGUCAAGAUUGUAAGUGUGGCAGUAUCUUUAAAAUUAGAAAGAGGGUAUAGAUGUGCCCUCCUUGGAGAACAUCUUGUCGUAGCCCUCUUUGUACACUACUGAGAAAUGGGCAUCAAGAAGUUGGUACACACGUAAUGUGUAUCACUGAAAUUCUAGAAAACAAUAAUUAGCUAGCUUCAUCAUAACACAGAUGUGCCGACUAAUGGCACCUGUGAAAAGAACGGAGAGCCUGGUUAAGAGGGUGAAGAGUAGAACCUGCAGACUAUGCAGGUUCUGCGAGGAACAGGUGAAACCAGAUGUACUGGUCUUAGAAUUUCUCAGGACGUCGGAUCAGGGUAGUUGAUUCUUGUUAGGUCUGUGAGUCGUCAAAUGAUCUAACAGUUGAUAAUACAGAUGUCCCGGAACUUAUCAAUAACCAUAUGCGAAGAUUAGCAUGAGAAGGUUCACGAAAAGGACAACUAAGAAAUUAGUCCAACUCUUGAACAUCUCCAAAUAGAAAACUUGUUCAUUUUUCAGAGUGCAUCGUGCAUGUGUUUCCCCUUUUUGUAUUCGAUUGGGAUUUUAAUACAUUGUUUUUAGUUUAUGGAUUUUAAUGGAUUGUAUGAUAUUUUGAUUUUA